rnacentral:lncRNA from 1 species
AUCAGUGCUGGGGAGCUUGCACGAUGUCAUCACCAGCAAGAGUAAGAAGUAUUGGCAGCAGCAAGCAGGCGGGCAGGCUGAGAUCUUGCAUGGAAAUCAUGAACCAGGUCUUGCUUUUCGUUUUUGAAACGUUUUGGAAGGAGAGUUAUGAAUAGCCCAGAAAUAGGUCUCAUUUUGUGGGUAGGAAGAAUGACCAGAAGCAUGAAAGCUAAAUCUCCUGGCAAGUGCAGGGGACCUCUCUUGGAGUGUGCAGUAAACCCGAGGGGACGACUUCUCCUGCUGUCAACUCCUGAACCAUCACAUCUGGAGUGAAGGAAGGGGCUGGUGAAGCCUUGUAAUAAAUGCAAAGGAUGCUGCUGAGAGCUUUGGUCUGCCUUUAACUCAUUGUGGCAAAGUUGGACAUCCCAAAGAUGGCGUAGAUGAACAUGACGAGGAAAAGCAGGAGGCCGAUGUUGAACAGCGCAGGAAGGGACAUCAUCAGAGCAAAGAGCAGCGUGCGGAUCCCCUUGGCGCCUUUGAUCAGGCGUAGGAUUCGUCCAAUCCUGGCCAGGCGAAUGACUCGGAACAGGAUGCUACUCCCAGUCUUCACUGAGAAACUGCUCUAGCCAGUGAACGACAGUGAAUGAAGAAAUGCCUGGCUGCUCGAGACACCGAGAGUGACAGCUGCGUGCUCAGCUCAGGAGGACGUUCAUAUCCUUCUUCAAGGCUCUAGGAACAAAGCGUGGUGAUGACAGGAAGACAGUAAGAGCCCAGGACAUAGGGAUGGGAGCUAUGAAGCUCUGUGCUGUACCAAGGACACAAUCAAUGUAAUCGCGGCACCAUAACAGAGGUCAGCAGUGGGUUCGUGCAAUACUGAGCGGGUCAGCAUUCAUUCAUUCAUAUACAGAGAGGGCCCAUGCAGCCACAUCUUCUCUGCUGAAUUAUGAGCUACCGAUGGAUUGUGGGAGAAACAAACAUUCUCUUCAGCCUUGGGCCCACUUCUGAGUUCACUAGGUUAAAGUGAGUAGUCGCUAAUCCAUGGACACAGACGGCCCUGAUUAAACGCAGUGGGUUAGGAAAAAAAGGAAAGAAAAAAAACAUGGCCGUGGGAAAGGGACUAGAAAGGGGAGGGGUUAUCAGGUAAGAGAAGGCUAGGGUGGCAGCAAUCAGAAUGGACUAUCUAUGAAGUUGUCUAAAGCUGAAAAUGUGCACACAGUUCUUAUAUGCUUAUUAACGGAAUGCUGAAGCACAUCUAGGCAAUAGGCAUGUAAUCGACAUCUCAGACCUUCUGUUAGGAAACUGGGAGCCUGACAUAUACAGAGGUAGAUACUUUCAGCCAACCAUUGGACUGAGCAUGGGUCCCGCAAUGGAGGAGUUAGAGAAAGGACUGAAGGAACUGAAGGGAUUUGCAACCCCAUAGAAAGAACGGCAAUAAUCAACCAACCAGAGCUCCCAGGGACUAAACCACCAGCCAAAGAGUACACAUGGAGGGACCCAUGACUCCAGCCGCCUAUGUAGCAGAGGAUGGCCUUGUCAGGCAUCAAUGGGAGGAGAGGCCCUUGAUCCUUGGGCUUCGCUCGAUGCCCCAGUGUAGGGGAAUGCCAGGGCAGGGGGGCAGGAGUGGAUGGGCGUGUGGGGGAGCACCCUCACCAUAGCAGGGGCAGGGAAGACGAGAUAGGGGCUUCUGGGGGAGGAAACUGGGAAAGGGAAUAACAUUUGAAGGGUAAAUAAAGAAAGUAUCAAAAAAGAGAGAGAGAGAGGAGAGAGAGAGAACAGAAAAGAUAAGAUAAGAAAAGGAAAGAGAAAAGAGAAAAGAGAAAAGAGAAAAGAGAAAAGAGAAACGAGAAAAGAGAAAAGAGAAAAGAGAAAAGAGAAAAGAGAAAAAAACUGGGAGAUUGCUGUGUGAGGCUAGUUUUGAGCUCAUUCCUUCAAGCAUAUUAGAAAAAGAUGAAUACUAUUUAUGUAGAAAACAGAACGUGCUUCUUGGCCUUUCAGCCCAGAACAAGAAGAAUCUCCGUGGAAAGACCUUUGUCCCACCUGCUUUGCCUUCGUGUUUGUAAUAAUAAAUACUACCUCGGCUUC